AGAGUUUGAUCCUGGCUCAGAAUGAACGCUGGCGGCGUGCUUAACACAUGCAAGUCGUACGAGAACGCUUCAGCUUGCUGAAGCUAGUAAAGUGGCGUACGGGUGAGUAACGCGUGGGUAAUCUACCUUCGAAUCGGGGAUAACGUUGCGAAAGUGACGCUAAUACCGGAUAAUAUCAUAGAGACCUUGGUUUUUAUGAUCAAAGAUGGCCUCUCCUUGGAAGCUAUUGUUUGGAGAUGAGCCCGCGUCCCAUUAGCUUGUUGGUGGGGUAAUGGCCUACCAAGGCUACGAUGGGUAGCUGGUCUGAGAGGAUGAUCAGCCACACUGGAACUGACACACGGUCCAGACUCCUACGGGAGGCAGCAGUGAGGAAUUUUGCGCAAUGGGGGAAACCCUGACGCAGCAACGCCGCGUGAGUGAUGAAGGCUUUCGGGUCGUAAAGCUCUGUCAAGUGGGAAGAACUCCCGUGAGGUUAGUACCCUCAUGGUUUGACGGUACCACUGAAGGAAGCACCGGCUAACUCCGUGCCAGCAGCCGCGGUAAUACGGGGGGUGCAAGCGUUAUUCGGAUUUACUGGGCGUAAAGCGCGCGUAGGCGGCCGUUUAAGUCAGAUGUGAAAGCCCGGGGCUCAACCCCGGAAGUGCAUUUGAUACUAUUCGGCUUGAGUAUGGGAGAGGGAAGUGGAAUUCCUGGUGUAGAGGUGAAAUUCGUAGAUAUCAGGAGGAACACCGGUGGCGAAGGCGACUUCCUGGACCAAUACUGACGCUGAGGCGCGAAGGCGUGGGUAGCAAACAGGAUUAGAUACCCUGGUAGUCCACGCAGUAAACGGUGAUCACUAGGUGUAGCGGGUAUUGACCCCUGCUGUGCCGCAGCUAACGCAUUAAGUGAUCCGCCUGGGGAGUACGGCCGCAAGGUUAAAACUCAAAGGAAUUGACGGGGGCCCGCACAAGCGGUGGAGCAUGUGGUUUAAUUCGACGCAACGCGAAGAACCUUACCUGGAUUUGACAUCUCGGGAAUUUCUAUGAAAGUAGGAAGUGCCCUUCGGGGAGCCCGAUGACAGGUGCUGCAUGGCUGUCGUCAGCUCGCGUCGUGAGAUGUUGGGUUAAGUCCCGCAACGAGCGCAACCCCUAUCUUUAGUUACCAGCACUUCGGGUGGGGACUCUAAAGAUACUGCCCCGGUCAACGGGGAGGAAGGUGGGGAUGACGUCAAGUCCUCAUGGCCUUUAUGUCCAGGGCUACACACGUGCUAC
rnacentral:rRNA from 1 species